UGGGGAAUUUUGGACAAUGGGCGAAAGCCUGAUCCAGCAAUGCCGCGUGUGUGAAGAAGGCCUUCGGGUUGUAAAGCACUUUUGUCCGGAAAGAAAUCCUUGGCUCUAAUACAGUCGGGGGAUGACGGUACCGGAAGAAUAAGCACCGGCUAACUACGUGCCAGCAGCCGCGGUAAUACGUAGGGUGCAAGCGUUAAUCGGAAUUACUGGGCGUAAAGCGUGCGCAGGCGGUUUGCUAAGACCGAUGUGAAAUCCCCGGGCUCAACCUGGGAACUGCAUUGGUGACUGGCAGGCUAGAGUAUGGCAGAGGGGGGUAGAAUUCCACGUGUAGCAGUGAAAUGCGUAGAGAUGUGGAGGAAUACCGAUGGCGAAGGCAGCCCCCUGGGCCAAUACUGACGCUCAUGCACGAAAGCGUGGGGAGCAAACAGGAUUAGAUACCCUGGUAGUCCACGCCCUAAAACGAUGUCAACUAGUUGUUGGGGAUUCAUUUCCUUAGUAACGUAGCUAACGCGUGAAGUUGACCGCCUGGGGAGUACGGUCGCAAGAUUAAAACUUAAAUGAAUUGACGGGGUCAUAGCUG
rnacentral:rRNA from 1 species